UCCCCCGGAAGCUCAUACGAAGCACUAAGCUUUUAACUUAGUGGCAGGUAUGUUAUAUACCUCGAGGGAU
rnacentral:tRNA from 1 species